GAGUAGAGGGAGAGGGAGAGAGAAUCUUAAGCAGGCUCCAUGCCCAGCGUAAGCCUAGUGCAGGGUGCAGGGCAGGGCCCCAGCUCAGUACCUGUGAGAUCAUGACCUGAGUAGAAAUCAAAACUCCCACACUUAAUCGACUGAGACACCGAGGUUCUCCUCCUGUUUCCUUUUCUGUAAUGAGACCAUAUGUCCUGAUGUGCUAGGACAGGUCUGAUUUAUGCAUGUUAAUCCUGCAAAAUUAUUAAUAGCACAUCCCUUUACUUCCAAAAGUAUCCUUUAAAUAAUAUUUUAUGUGGCCAUUGUGUUAUUUAGCUUGAAUCUCAUCCUUCCUCCUCUCCCUCAAUAUAAAAGCAAAGCCUGAGAUAGGAAUUUAUGUGAAGAUGGUUCAUUUUGAGCAAUGAUCCCAGGAAAAGGAGUGAGGGGCUCAGAAGAGUGAACAGGAAAGAAGGGGAGAGACAGUGUCACAGGUAGAAAGAUUGGCAUGUAUAACGGCUCGUCUGGGAGAGAGAGUAAAAGUAGGCUCCUGGGGUUGGAGCAUCAUUAGUGAGGAGACAAUGGAAGAGAAGUCAGAGAAGAAGCAGGGACCAGAACUGCUGGCCUUGUAGGCCCAGAGAAGAGGAAGAGAAAAUGGCAGGUCUGGACUAGGAAUGCACCAAGUGUUAGAAUGGGCACUGUCCAGAACUCUGGGACCAGCAGACCCUGAGAAGUAGCUGUGUCCAGGGUUAGCUGACCACAAAGGGCUGUGACAAUUGGCAUUCAAGCAUGAAGCACUGUUGGCCCAAAGAAGGAGCACAAACAGUCUCCCUCAGAGAACCGUGAUGUUCCAGAGCCAGGCAGAGAUGGAGAGCGUCCAUAAUCUUGUGAAGAUCUAUUUAUUAUGCUACCACCAAGAUAGAAUCCCUGCAAGAAAAUGACAGGUCCAUCAAAUUUGUGAAUAUAACAAAUUGGCUUCCAUAGUAUGUUAAAAUAGUUACCAACUUGGAGAUUUUCCCAGACUACAAGGUUAGUUUAAUAUUACAAAAUCCAUUGAUUAAUAAUUUAAAAGGAAAGAAAAACCCUCAAAAGGCAUUUGAUUAAAUUUACCAAUCAUUCACAGUAAACAGCUGGAAAAUCAUGAAGAGAAGGAAAUGUUCUUAGCAUUUUAUUUUUUAAUUUUUUAAAGUGUUUAUUUAUUUUUGAGAGAGUGAGAGAAAGAGAGAGAACAUAAGCAGGGAAGGGGCAGAGAGAAAGGGAGACACUGAAUCCAGAGCAGGCUCCAGGCUCUGAGCUGUCAGCAUGGAGCCUGACGCGGGGCUCCAACUCACGAUCCGUGAGAUCAUGCCCGGAGCCAAAGCCGGACGCUUAACUGACUGAGCCACCCAGGCACCCCAGCAUUUUAAAGAAUGUAUAUUGGAAAGCAAAAGCCAAUACUGGACUCAACGCUAUAAAAUUUCCAUUAAUGUCAAGAUCCAAACAAUGCCCUUUCACUACCCUGUAUUGUAUUUGCACAGUAUUUCUCUGGAUGUCCUAAAGGUGACAAAAAGGUGAGAAAAAGAAAUAAUGGUUAAGUAAAAGAAAUAAUUAAUAGAGUCAAAAUGAUCAUUACCAGCAGAUGAUAUUGUGAUUGUGCCUCCAUAAAAACCAGGAGAAAAUUGGUUGAAAACUAUUAUAAUUAGUAGGGGGAUCAAGUCAGGUGGAGCAGAAUAUGAUAAGUUUGUAUAUGUAUAUAGAUUUUAAUAGUUUUUAAAAGUGUCAAGUUGCAACUUAGAAAAUAUGAUGAAAAUAAUUUACCAUUCACACUCACAGUGACUCAUGAGAAAUAUCUAGAAACUCACUUGGGCACAUGAAAGGCAUAUAAUCUUCACUCUAGGAUAGAUAUAAAAGAAAAAUAAAUAGACACAUACGUCUGAGGCGCCUGGGUGGCUCAGUUGGUUAAGAGGCUGACUCUUUAAUUUUUUUUUUUUAACGUUUAUUUAUUUUUGAGACAGGGAGAGACAGCAUGAAUGGGGGAGGGUUAGAGAGAGGGAGACCCAGAAUCUGAAGCAGGCUCCAGGCUCUGAGCUGUCAGUACAGAGCCUGAUGCACGGCUCAAACUCACGGAGUGCGAGAUCAUGACUUGAGCCAAAGUCAGACGCUUAACUGACUGAGCCACCCAGGCACCCCUUAAGAGGCUGACUCUUGUU